rnacentral:rRNA from 1 species
UGCAAGUCGAGCGGACCGACGGGAGCUUGCUCCCUUAGGUCAGCGGCGGACGGGUGAGUAACACGUGGGUAACCUGCCUGUAAGACUGGGAUAACUCCGGGAAACCGGGGCUAAUACCGGAUGCUUGAUUGAACCGCAUGGUUCAAUCAUAAAAGGUGGCUUUUAGCUACCACUUGCAGAUGGACCCGCGGCGCAUUAGCUAGUUGGUGAGGUAACGGCUCACCAAGGCGACGAUGCGUAGCCGACCUGAGAGGGUGAUCGGCCACACUGGGACUGAGACACGGCCCAGACUCCUACGGGAGGCAGCAGUAGGGAAUCUUCCGCAAUGGACGAAAGUCUGACGGAGCAACGCCGCGUGAGUGAUGAAGGUUUUCGGAUCGUAAAACUCUGUUGUUAGGGAAGAACAAGUACCGUUCGAAUAGGGCGGCACCUUGACGGUACCUAACCAGAAAGCCACGGCUAACUACGUGCCAGCAGCCGCGGUAAUACGUAGGUGGCAAGCGUUGUCCGGAAUUAUUGGGCGUAAAGCGCGCGCAGGCGGUUUCUUAAGUCUGAUGUGAAAGCCCCCGGCUCAACCGGGGAGGGUCAUUGGAAACUGGGGAACUUGAGUGCAGAAGAGGAGAGUGGAAUUCCACGUGUAGCGGUGAAAUGCGUAGAGAUGUGGAGGAACACCAGUGGCGAAGGCGACUCUCUGGUCUGUAACUGACGCUGAGGCGCGAAAGCGUGGGGAGCGAACAGGAUUAGAUACCCUGGUAGUCCACGCCGUAAACGAUGAGUGCUAAGUGUUAGAGGGUUUCCGCCCUUUAGUGCUGCAGCAAACGCAUUAAGCACUCCGCCUGGGGAGUACGGUCGCAAGACUGAAACUCAAAGGAAUUGACGGGGGCCCGCACAAGCGGUGGAGCAUGUGGUUUAAUUCGAAGCAACGCGAAGAACCUUACCAGGUCUUGACAUCCUCUGACAACCCUAGAGAUAGGGCUUCCCCUUCGGGGGCAGAGUGACAGGUGGUGCAUGGUUGUCGUCAGCUCGUGUCGUGAGAUGUUGGGUUAAGUCCCGCAACGAGCGCAACCCUUGAUCUUAGUUGCCAGCAUUCAGUUGGGCACUCUAAGGUGACUGCCGGUGACAAACCGGAGGAA